rnacentral:rRNA from 1 species
UACCUGCAGUCGACGAAGCUCUGCGAUACAAGACUUCGGUCAAGUUGAACGGAUGACUUAGUGGCGGACGGGUGAGUAACGCGUGAGGAACCUGCCUUUCAGUGGGGGACAACAGUUGGAAACGACUGCUAAUACCGCAUAAUGUAUUCUGACCGCAUGAUCGGAAUACCAAAGAUUUAUUGCUGAAAGAUGGCCUCGCGUCUGAUUAGAUAGUUGGUGAGGUAACGGCUCACCAAGUCGACGAUCAGUAGCCGGACUGAGAGGUUGAACGGCCACAUUGGGACUGAGAUACGGCCCAGACUCCUACGGGAGGCAGCAGUGGGGAAUAUUGGGCAAUGGGGGAAACCCUGACCCAGCAACGCCGCGUGAAGGAAGAAGGCUUUCGGGUUGUAAACUUCUUUUACCAGGGACGAAGGACGUGACGGUACCUGGAGAAAAAGCCACGGCUAACUACGUGCCAGCAGCCGCGGUAAUACGUAGGUGGCAAGCGUUGUCCGGAUUUACUGGGUGUAAAGGGCGUGUAGGCGGAGAAGCAAGUCAGAAGUGAAAUCCAUGGGCUUAACCAUGAACUGCUUUGAACUGUU